GCCCUUGAGUUUGAUCCUGGCUCAGGAUGAACGCUGGCGGCGUGCUUAACACAUGCAAGUCGAACGAUUAACCCGCCUCCGGGCGGUUAUAGAGUGGCGAACGGGUGAGUAACACGUGACCAACCUGCCUACCACUCCGGGAUAACCCGGGGAAACCCGCGCUAAUACCGGAUACUCCGGCCGGGCCGCAUGGCUCAGUCGGGAAAGCUCCGACGGUGGUAGAUGGGGUCGCGGCCCAUUAGCUAGUCGGUGGGGUAACGGCCCACCGAGGCAACGAUGGGUAGCCGGGCUGAGAGGCUGAUCGGCCACAUUGGGACUGAGACACGGCCCAGACUCCUACGGGAGGCAGCAGUGGGGAAUUUUGCGCAAUGGGGGAAACCCUGACGCAGCAACGCCGCGUGCGGGAUGAAGGCCUUCGGGUUGUAAACCGCUUUCAGCAGGGAAGAAAUUGACGGUACCUGCAGAAGAAGCUCCGGCUAAAUACGUGCCAGCAGCCGCGGUAAUACGUAUGGAGCGAGCGUUAUCCGGAUUUAUUGGGCGUAAAGCGCGCGUAGGCGGCUUGCCAAGCGGGAUCUCAAAACUGAGGGCUCAACCCCCAGCCGGAUCCCGAACUGGCAGGCUCGAGUUCGGUAGAGGAAGAUGGAAUUCCCAGUGUAGCGGUGAAAUGCGCAGAUAUUGGGAAGAACACCG
rnacentral:rRNA from 1 species